GCGUCCGAAAUCGCGUACUUCCAUACUAUAUAGUAUGCGAAAAACAGUACGCGAGCAGAGUAGUAUGUCCGAAUUCAUAGAAUUCGAAAAACAGUAGGCGAGAAGUACCCGGAUGGCCUACUACUUCCGGCGAGAUUCUGAAGUGCGCAUACGAUGGACACUUUACUAUCCCAUGAUGCCACGGGAGAGGAGGAGUUGUCGUUAUAUUUGAAAAUGCCGGAAACCGGAGACGCGGGAGUUUUCCACUGUAUAUGGAGUUUUCAAGUGCAUGUUUACAAGACGAGGCAAGGAUACCCACCAUCUCCAAGGAUGCACUAUCCUGCAGAUGGAAACAGGCGGCCAGUGCACACAGGGCUGUUCUUCAGCACCCGGGCAUCGUGCACCGACCCAAGAUACCCAACAAAAAUGUCGAGGAACUUCCCCUUGUGGUCAGUGAUGGCCUGCAGCUGAAAAUAAUUAAACAGCUUUCUGGUUGAAGUAGCACUGGACGUCACUUGCUAGUGGUUUGAUGCGGAUGUGACAGCCAUUUAUUGCACCAGCUACUACACUGACAGCUGGAGACCCUGCCAGCUGGGUAAAACCUGCUCCCACUGCCUCCUGGUCAUCUGCACUGGGGAAAGCGAUAACCUGUCUCAAAGUGCCGAUGACUGCCUUGCUCAUUCUGUGCAUAAUGUCGUGCACAGCAGACUACGGGAUGUCAUAGACGAGUGACACUACCCGGUAUGAUGCUGCAUGGGCCAGCCAGUAAAGGAACACCAGCACCUCGACGUCCUUUUCCCACCCAUGGUUGCAAUCUGCUUUCACUACAGCAAUCAGGGACUGGAUGGACUGCCGUGAAAGUCGGGAGGCUGCUGUGCCAAUUCUUCGGCUGCACUUUGAAGAUGGAGCUGACCUCCACCCCGGUCCGCUCCUCCACCCCGGCCGAAGGAUUGGCACAGCAGCAUUCACGUGGCAGUAGGUUGUAGGGCUCACAAUCUGUAAACAUUUAUAUAGUUUUAAUAUAAAAUACAAUUUGAAUCAA